rnacentral:rRNA from 1 species
UACGUAGGGUGCGAGCGUUAAUCGGAUUUACUGGGCGUAAAGCGCGCGCAGGCGGCCCGUUAAGACAGGUGUGAAAUCCCUGGGCUCAACCUAGGAAUUGCGCUUGUGACUGGCGGGCUUGAGUACGGUAGAGGUGGGUGGAAUUCCUGGUGUAGCAGUGAAAUGCGUAGAGAUCAGGAGGAACACCGAUGGCGAAGGCAGCCCCCUGGGCCUGUACUGACGCUCAGGCACGAAAGCGUGGGGAGCAAACAGG